rnacentral:rRNA from 1 species
CCUCGGAUCAGGUAGGAAUACCCGCUGAACUUAAGCAUAUCAAUAAGCGGAGGAAAAGAAACCAACAGGGAUUGCCCUAGUAACGGCGAGUGAAGCGGCAACAGCUCAAAUUUGAAAUCUGGCUCUCGGGCCCGAGUUGUAAUUUGUAGAGGAUACUUUUGAUGCGGUGCCUUCCGAGUUCCCUGGAACGGGACGCCAUAGAGGGUGAGAGCCCCGUCUGGUUGGAUGCCAAAUCUCUGUAAAGUUCCUUCAACGAGUCGAGUAGUUUGGGAAUGCUGCUCUAAAUGGGAGGUAUAUGUCUUCUAAAGCUAAAUACCGGCCAGAGACCGAUAGCGCACAAGUAGAGUGAUCGAAAGAUGAAAAGCACUUUGAAAAGAGAGUUAAAAAGUACGUGAAAUUGUUGAAAGGGAAGCGUUUAUGACCAGACUUGGGCUUGGUUAAUCAUCUGGGGUUCUCCCCAGUGCACUUUUCCAGUCCAGGCCAGCAUCAGUUUUCCCCGGGGGAUAAAGGCGGCGGGAAUGUGGCUCUCUUCGGGGAGUGUUAUAGCCCACCGUGUAAUACCCUGGGGGGGACUGAGGUUCGCGCAUCUGCA